rnacentral:rRNA from 1 species
AUUGAACGCUGGCGGCAGGCUUAACACCUGCAAGUCGAACGAGUGGCGGACGGGUGAGUAAUGCUUGGGAAUCUAGCUUAUGGAGGGGGAUAACUACGGGAAACUGUAGCUAAUACCGCGUACCAUAGGAUGAGCCCACGUGGGAUUAGGUAGUUGGUGAGGUAAAGGCUCACCAAGCCGACGAUCUCUAGCUGGUCUGAGAGGAUGACAAGACACACGGGGACUGAGACACGGCCCAGAAUCCUACGGUAGGCAGCAGUGGGGAAUAUGGCGCAAGGGGGGCAACCCUGACGCAGCCAGGCCGCGUGGAUGAAGAAGGCCUUAGGGUUGUAAAGUACUUUCAGCGGGGAGGCGUUACCCGCAGAAGAAGCACCGGCUAACUCCGUGCCAGCAGCCGCGGUAAUUC